ACGCUCGACACCUACGGGAGGCAGCGGUGGGGAAUAUUGCACAAUGGGGGAAACCCUGAUGCAGCAACGCCGCGUGAAGGAAGACGGUUUUCGGAUUGUAAACUUCUGUUCUUAGUGAAGAUAGUGACGGUAGCUAAGGAGCAAGCCACGGCUAACUACGUGCCAGUAGCCGCGGUAAUCUGAGCGGGCUGGCAAGGC
rnacentral:rRNA from 1 species